rnacentral:rRNA from 1 species
CAGUAGCCGCGGUAAUACGUAGGUGGCAAGCGUUGUCCGGAAUUAUUGGGCGUAAAGGGCUCGCAGGCGGUUUCUUAAGUCUGAUGUGAAAGCCCCCGGCUCAACCGGGGAGGGUCAUUGGAAACUGGGAAACUUGAGUGCAGAAGAGGAGAGUGGAAUUCCACGUGUAACGGUGAAAUGCGUAGAGAUGUGGAGGAACACCAGUGGCGAAGGCGACUCUCUGGUCUGUAACUGACGCUGAGGAGCGAAAGCGUGGGGAGCGAACAGGAUUAGAUACCCCGGUAGUCCCUGUCUCUUAUAC